AGGUUCUGGGUUCUGGGGCUUGAGCCUCUGGGCAUGGGCAGAAGGCAGGUAGCAGAGGUCCUAGGAUGCCAGGGCUUUUUCCUUCCGGGCGGGGAUCAAAUCCUCGAGAAACCGAGCCAUCCCGUCCAGCUACCUGCCCCAAACGGGGCGCAGGCCGUGGUGACCUCUCUAGGAGGCUCCGGAAAACCGGCCACGCCGCCCAUCUCGGGUGCAGAAAGUCGGCUUCCCCCGAUCCAUUGGAAAGAUUCCUGGCUAUCCACCCGGUCGGGGCGUCUGAGUGCAGGAGCCGCGACAGGCGUGCCUGAUAAACCAGUGAAGAGCACUCUCGCCUUACUGUCUAUCCAUCCCACCCGGACCCAGGCUCAGCGCUGCACACUCCCCCGGGGGGGCCCGGCGCAGUCACGCGCGCCCCACACUUGAGCUCACAAGCGCGCAAGACUCUCGCUCUCCGCCCUGCACACCUGCGCUCCGCCCCCUGGUCCCGGGCCGGCGACGGGCGAAGACAUUUGGGAACCCAGGGCGGCUGCAGCGGCACCCCCAACUCUUCCCGUUUUCUGGGCCAGAAUUGUCUGGAGCCUUCCGCCGCUCCAAACCAGCCUGCAUCCCUCUCCAUCCUUCCCUCCCCCCGCCUGCCGCGGCACCGGUAUCUGCAACCGCAGUCCGGAGCCGGUGAGGCGGCGAAGGGGGGAGGGGAAGGAAGCAAGCAAGGGAUGAGCGCCUGGAGGGCGUCGGGGGCCCUGAGCCGGACUAAGACGCCCCAGGAGCCGGAACGCGAGCAGGAGCCGGAGCCAGAACCAAACCACCGCUGCAGUCCACUUACCCCAGGAGGCGCCCUGGCCCGCGCUCGCCCCCCAGGGCCUCAUGUCGGAACCACAGCCUGACCUGGAGCCACCCCAACAUGGGCUGUACAUGCUCUUCCUGCUUGUGCUGGUCUUUUUCCUCAUGGGCCUCGUAGGCUUCAUGAUCUGCCACGUGCUCAAGAAAAAGGGCUACCGCUGCCGCACGUCGAGGGGCUCCGAGCCUGACGACACCCAGCUCCAGCCCCCUGAGGAUGAUGACAUGAAUGAGGACACAGUAGAGAGGAUUGUUCGCUGCAUCAUCCAAAAUGAAGCCAAUGCUGAGGCCUUGAAGGAGAUGCUGGGGGACAGUGAAGGAGAAGGGACAGUGCAGCUGUCCAGCGUGGAUGCUAUGUCCAGCCUGCAGGAUGGAACCCCCUCCCAUCAUCACACAGUGCAUCUGGGCUCUGCAGCACCUUGCAUCCACUGCAGCCGCAACAAGAGGCCCCCGCUUGUCCGUCAGGGGCGCUCCAAGGAAGGAAGGAGCCGCCCCCGGCCUGGGGAGACUACCGUAUUCUCUGUGGGCAGGUUCCGGGUGACACACAUUGAGAAGCGCUAUGGGCUGCAUGAGCAUCGUGAUGGCUCCCCCACGGACAGGAGCUGGGGAUCUGGUGGAGGGCAGGACCCAGGGGGUAGUCAGGGGUCUGGGGGAGGACAGCCCAGGGCAGGGAUGCCAGCUAUUGAGAGCCUGCCCCCUGAGAGGCCACAGCCUCAGGCCCUCGCCAGCCCCCGAGUGCAGAACGGAGGACUCAGGGACAGCAGCCUAGUCCCUUGUGCACUUGCGGGGAACCCUGGAGCCUCUGCAGAGCCGACGCUGGGGGCUGGAGGGAGGGGCUCAAGCCCAGGGCUGGCCAGCCAAGAGGCAAGUGGACAGCCAAGCAAACUGGACACCUCAGAUCACCAGGUAUGAAGACAUGGCCAGGGCUGUGGUGGGCUCAGCUUAUUGCCCCCCCACUCUGGGGAUGGGGUGCACUGCUAUGACCCACAUCCUGUUCUCCCAUUGUUGACCCCUCCUCUCUCUCAGGUGUCUCCAGCACGGGGAGCAAGGGGUGUGUGAGGUCGCCUGACCCGCUUUCCCCAUCACCUCGCUCCAUAUGUGUGGAGCAAGGAGUAGGCCUCUGCCCUUGGUGGGCUCCUAAAGCAAUAGCACCUUAGCCCCCUGCCCUCUUGGCACAAGAGGCUCAGGCCCUGGCUUGGGCUUUGGGCCCUUUAUUCACUGUCAAUAAAUUCGCUCAGAUCAUUA